rnacentral:rRNA from 1 species
GACAGAGGGUGCAAACGUUGCUCGGAAUCACUGGGCGUAAAGGGCGUGUAGGCGGGCAGGUAAGUCGGGCGUGAAAUCCCUGGGCUCAACCCAGGAACUGCACUCGAAACUACUUGUCUUGAGUGUCGGAGAGGAAAGCGGAAUUCCUGGUGUAGAGGUGAAAUGCGCAGAUAUCAGGAGGAACACCCGUAGCGAAGGCGGCACUCUGGGCCGAUACUGACACU